rnacentral:rRNA from 1 species
GAUAAACGCUGGCGGCGUGCCUAAUACAUGCAAGUCGAACGAGGAGUCCUUGUAGUAAUACUUGGACUUCCUAGUGGCGAAUGGGUGAGUAACGCGUUGGUGACCUGCCCCGAAGAGAGGAAUAACUCCGGGAAACUGGAGCUAAUACCUCAUGUGGUUACCAGGGUUAGAGGCCUGGCAACUGAAGGAGCAAUCCACUUUGGGAGGGACCUGCGUCCCAUCAGCUAGUUGGUAAGGUAACGGCCUACCAAGGCUACGACGGGUAGGGGGCCUGAGAGGGUGGCCCCCCACAAUGGAACUGAAACACGGUCCAUACACCUACGGGUGCAG